rnacentral:snRNA from 1 species
UAGUGUUACAGCUAUUUUAGAAUUUUUCUAGUAGGCUUUCUGGUAUAUGCUAGAAAGCUCCC